CCCUUAGUCCUUAGUUACCAGCACGUUAUGGUGGGCACUCUAAGGAGACUGCCGGUGACAAACCGGAGGAAGGUGGGGAUGACGUCAAGUCAUCAUGGCCCUUACGGCCUGGGCUACACACGUGCUACAAUGGUCGGUACAAAGGGUUGCCAAGCCGCGAGGUGGAGCUAAUCCCAUAAAACCGAUCGUAGUCCGGAUCGCAGUCUGCAACUCGACUGCGUGAAGUCGGAAUCGCUAGUAAUCGUGAAUCAGAAUGUCACGGUGAAUACGUUCCCGGGCCUU
rnacentral:rRNA from 1 species